GGGCGGAUAGCUCAGCUGGAAGAGCGCCUGCCUUACACGCAGGAGGUCACAGGUUCAAGCCCUGUUCCGCCUACCA
rnacentral:tRNA from 1 species